rnacentral:tRNA from 2 species
AAUGAGAUGCCUGAUUAAAGGGUUAUCUUGAUAGGAUAAAUCAAGUAAAUUAAAUUUACUCUCAUUA